rnacentral:rRNA from 1 species
CACGUAGGGGGCGAGCGUUGUCCGGAUUUAUUGGGCGUAAAGAGCUCGUAGGCGGUUCGGCAAGUCGGGUGUGAAAUUUCGAGGCUCAACCUCGAAACGCCACUCGAUACUGCUGUGACUGGAGUCCGGUAGAGGAGUGCGGAAUUCCUGGUGUAGCGGUGAAAUGCGCAGAUAUCAGGAGGAACACCAACGGCGAAGGCGACUGCCUGGCCUGAUCUUGACGCUGAGGCGCGAAAGCUAGGGGAGCAAACGGG